UGUGAAUGGAUUAAAAACAGGCAUGUAA
rnacentral:piRNA from 1 species